UACGGAGGGUGCAAGCGUUAUCCGGAUUCACUGGGUUUAAAGGGUGCGUAGGUGGCGUCGUAAGUCUGUGGUGAAAGCCCGGAGCUCAACUCCGGGUCUGCCGCGGAUACUGCGAGGCUUGAGUGCUGUAGAGGGGGGUAGAAUGCCGGGUGUAGCGGUGGAAUGCGUAGAGAUCCGGCAGAAGACCGGUGGCGAAGGCGGCCCCCUGGGCAGUAACUGACACUGAGGCGCGACAGCGUGGGGAGCAAACAGG
rnacentral:rRNA from 1 species